rnacentral:rRNA from 1 species
UACGUAGGGGGCAAGCGUUGUCCGGAAUUAUUGGGCGUAAAGAGCGCGUAGGCGGUCCGGUAAGUCGGUUGUGAAAGUCGGGGGCUCAACCCUCGGAUACCGAUCGAUACUGUCGGGCUAGAGUCCGGAAGAGGCGAGUGGAAUUCCUGGUGUAGCGGUGAAAUGCGCAGAUAUCAGGAGGAACACCAAUGGCGAAGGCAGCUCGCUGGGACGGUACUGACGCUGAGGCGCGAAAGCGUGGGGAGCAAACAGG